CGGUGGCACUGCUGUUGCUGAUGGCUGAAGGAGGAGGAGCAUGUGUACCAUGCUCCCUCGUGGUUUCUGUGCUGGGAAUUGUGGGGGAGCAUGGUAGACAUGCUCCUCCUCCUUCAGCCAUCAGCAUCAUCAGUG